rnacentral:rRNA from 1 species
CCUACGGGUGGCUGCAGUGAGGAAUAUUGGUCAAUGGCCGGAAGGCUGAACCAGCCAAGUCGCGUGAGGGAAUAAGGCCCUAUGGGUCGUAAACCUCUUUUGUCCGGGAGCAAAGGCCUCCACGUGUGGACUUUUGGAGAGUACCUGCAGACAAAGCACCGGAUAACUCCGUCCCAGCAGCCGCGUGAAUCCGGAGGAUGCGAGCGUUCUCCGGAUUUAUUGGGUUUAAAGGGUGCGUAGGCGGAAUGUCAAGUCAGCGGUAAAAUUUCGGGGCUCAACCCCGUCGUGCCGUUGAAACUGACGCCCUUGAGUGAGUGAGAAGUAAGCGGAAUGCGUGGUGUAGCGGUGAAAUGCAUAGAUAUCACGCAGAACGCCGAUUGCGAAGGCAGCUUACCGGAGCUCAACUGACGCUGAGGCACGAAAGUGCGGGUAUCGAACAGGAUUAGAUACCCGAGUAGUC